rnacentral:lncRNA from 1 species
GUGAGUAAAGGCUUUAUUCUGUUUUUGGCAUAUAUUUACUGCUGAAGACUACUAAAAUGAUAGGCUUAUAGGUAAGAAAAUAUCUGCUUAAAAUCUUUGAAGAUAUGCUAGGUAAGUUAUUAUCAGGAUAAAACUAUACAGAAGUGAAGUACUGAAACUUAGUUUUACCCUUAGGACCCUUUGUAGAAGCUACCCAAAACGGGUAAAAACCAUAAACUCAGGGACCAUUCAAAACUGUGGAUUCCCAUAGGAUUCCUUUUCCCAUUUAAUUGGUACCCAAAAGUGCACCAAGAUCUCACAGAUCACUACUAAAUAACUUACUCGUGUAACCAAAUACCACCUGUUCCCCAAAAAUCUAUGGGAGAAAAAAGAUACCCCAAAAGAAUACACUUACAGUGGAAGAACUAAACUUGCUUCCUACCUGCUCCCCAAGGGACUCUGUAAAGAAUAUUUUUCUGGCGUGAGCCACCAUGCCUGGCCCCUUAAAAUAAUUUAGAUAGUCAGAUUAUUAAACAAAAUAUGCAGUAGCUAGGCUUACUGUGUUUAAGGAAAUAAAAAUAUGUGUAGAGAAGAAGAAAUCCUAAAGAAUAACGAUAGAACUGGAAGUAAAAACAAUUAUGAUUAAAAUUAAGAACCAAAUCAAUUGAAGGGAUUAGCAACAGAUUAGACAGAAUUAGAGAAUUAGUCAAUUGGAAGACUGUUCCCAAGAAUUUAUUCAGAAAUUUCCACAGAGUAGCAAAGAAAUAGAAUAUAUGAAAAGAGGAUACAGAAUGAUUUUCUACAGUCUUUGCUAUUGGUUGGUAAGUUUUAAUCAAGUUUUGUAAUUUAACAUCUAGUAGAUUUUAUUAUAAAGCUUUUUAUUUGUUUUUGUUUUUUUUUUAAAAAAAGGUAAGCAAGAAACUUGGAAUAUAGGAUAACGGAGAAGGUCUAAAAUAUACAUUUAGUCAGAGUUCCAGAAUGAAAGGGUAGAGAGAAUGGGGCCAAGUCAUUAUUAUAAGAGGCAAUUAGGACCUCUACAGAACUGAGGAGAGGUGUCAGAGUUUAGCCAGAAAAAAAAGAGAUUACUUUCAAGAAAGAAGAAUCAUUAGACAGCUGAUAGCUAGUUUCCCAACAGUGACAACCAAUAGACAUUGGAAUGAUAGCUUUAAUUUGCCAAGGGAAAAUAACUAUCAACUGAUAAUUGUAGGCCUUGCAAAAAUAUCUUUCAGUAAGAGUGUAGAAUAUGAGAAAUGGCCACCAGCAGAGUCUCAUGAAAGAAAGUCCCAAAGGGUAGAAUAAAAGUGAUUUUACCUAUCAGAGACACAGAAAGGACUGCAGAGCAAAACAAGUAAUAAAUACAUGAAUAAACCUAAGUGAAUAUUAACUGUAUAAAGCAAUUAUUAUGUCUUAUAGAUUUACUAUAACAACACAAACUGGGAGAGAGAGCAGUAAAUGAAUCUAAUAUUUAAAUGUAACUUCAUAUCUGGACAAAGGGUACUGAUUAAAGUUAUUAAAGUUUGCAAAUUGCAGUUUGAAGGAUACACAUUUAAUUGACAAGGUGAUCUAAGUUCAUUUGGAAAUUUCAGGA